UACGUAGGGUGCGAGCGUUGUCCGGAAUUAUUGGGCGUAAAGAGCUCGUAGGCGGUCUGUCGCGUCGAUCGUGAAAACUUGGGGCUUAACCCUGAGCUUGCGGUCGAUACGGGCAUGACUGGAGUUCGGCAGGGGAGACUGGAAUUCCUGGUGUAGCGGUGAAAUGCGCAGAUAUCAGGAGGAACACCGGUGGCGAAGGCGGGUCUCUGGACAGUUACUGACGCUCAGGCACGAAAGCGUGGGGAGCAAAAGGG
rnacentral:rRNA from 1 species